AGCUCCAAUAGCGUAUAUUAAAGUUGUUGCAGUUAAAAAGCUCGUAGUCGGAUUUCGGGUCGGGCCGAGCGGUCUGCCGAUGGGUAUGCACUGUUUGGCGCGGCCUUCUUUCCGGAGACCGCGGCUACUCUUAACUGAGCGGGCGUGGGAGACGGAUCGUUUACUUUGAAAAAAUCAGAGUGUUUCAAGCAGGCAGCUCGCUCUUGCAGGAUAAUUGAAUAGGACUCUGGUGCUAUUUUGUUGGUUUCGAACACCGGAGUAAUGAUUAACAGGGACAGUCAGGGGCACUCGUAUUCCGUCGAGAGAGGUGAAAUUCUCAGACCAAUGGAAGACGAACCACUGCGAAAGCAUUUGCCAGGGAUGUUUUCA
rnacentral:rRNA from 1 species